GUGUCAGCAGCCGCGGUAAUACAGAGGUCCCGAGCGUUGUUCGGAUUCACUGGGCGUAAAGGGUGCGUAGGUGGCCUAAAAAGUUUGAUGUGAAAGCUCAGGGCUUAACCCUGAAAUGGCAUUGAAUACUGUUGGGCUGGAGGUUUGGAGGGGGGACUGGAAUUCUUGGUGUAGCAGUGAAAUGCGUAGAUAUCAAGAGGAACACCAGUGGCGAAGGCGAGUCCCUGGACAACACCUGACACUGAGGCACGAAAGCCGGGGGAGCAAACAGGAUUAGAUACCCUAGUAGUCC
rnacentral:rRNA from 1 species